rnacentral:lncRNA from 1 species
CUAUGUUGGCUGGUUUGAGGGGUAGUUAUGGAACCCUAAUUUCAUUUUGUUAGAAGAGAGUAAGAGAUCUUGAUUUCUCCAUCCGAGUGAUUUAGUUGAAUUUGUCUUUCAAAUCCGUGGCUAAAUCUUGUGUUUUUGAGGUUUCUUCCAUUUUCCCUUUUCGGGUUUUCGGAGUAUUUUCGUGGGAAUUUUUGUUCUUCGUGUUUGAACCCAAAUCCGUGAGGGUUGUUGGGAGAAUUUGUUGUUAGGAUCCUUGUGAGCAACUUUGAUGUGUUCCCCCCUCUAAUCCUUCACGAAUUUAGCUUGAAUCAAAAUUCUCCCCAAAACCGUGUUCUUGAUUGGCCGUUCGAUUUUCUUCAAAAUCCGCGAUGGAUACUUGAACUUUUCAAGAUCUUCUUCCUAGAUCUAUUAUUCCUGGAGGGGUUGCAUCAAUGGCUCAAGUUUCGUCUCGAAUCGUUGAAUCUGAGGGAGUAUUUUUCGUUUGAAGUUGGUGCCUUGUUCUUGGUUCCUUCUGUUCUUCUCUGUUCGGGCGCAGGAGGAAUCGACCGGCAGCUUCGCACGGGCGCGGGGCAGGCAGCGAGCGCUCGCGUUCGCAGCGCGUGCUUGCGCCAGGCCGGCGCAUCGGGCCAGGCCAGCAGCACGAGCCCAGCUAGCGCCAGCAGGCUGCCCAGCAGCAGCACGUCCUGCUCGUGCUUCGCGGGCCAGGCCGGCAGGCCGACAGCAGCAGACCUGGCGAGCACCGCAGCUCAGCCUGGUGGCCAGCGGCCCAGCACGCACGCACGCACGUGUGAGAGCAGGCCGGAGACACCAGCACUCUAGCCAAGAGCACCAACGUGUGGCCCAAGGAGAAGCAACUCAUCAUUUCCAGCUGGCCCAUCAAGGUUCGGUCCAGUGCUUUUAAUUCCUGCUAAGUUAAUUACUGCUAGUUAAUCUGUGCUACCUUGUUCAAUUAUUUUGUCACUUGCUAAUCAUGCUUAGUUAUUAAUUAAUUAAUUCAAGUAUUUUUAGUCGAGUAAUGAUUUGGUAGCGUUUGAGCUCAAUCGCUUGUGCAAAUUUUUCGAUGCCUCGCUUUACUUUGCUUCCGCUACGCUUUGAGCGUUCCUAAUCAUUCUAGAGUAAGCUUGCCACGAGUUGACUUGUGUUAUAUUAGUGAUUAGGCACGAGGUAUGUUUUGGGUGGCAAUUGGGAUAUAGAUCAUAUUUUCGAAGAAAUUUCAAAGGCUCCUGUUCACCACCCAUGUCGCCGUUCCAGUCCUUCAAGUUCAAU